ensembl:snoRNA
CCGGCCCUGAAUCAAGGCCGGCAGCUUCCUGACACUGUUGGUUUCAAGCAGGAGCCUAAAGAGAUGUCUUUCUGUGGUCUGUUGGCCACUUCAGAGCUUGGGCCGUGAAAUGGUCAAUUCAUUAGAGAGAAACAGCU